UGCGUCUGAUAGUGCAGCGGUCAGUACGCCUGCGGUUCGUGCUGGAGGUUUGAGUAAGCAGUCUGGGUUCAAUUCCCAAUCAGGCAG
rnacentral:tRNA from 1 species